rnacentral:rRNA from 1 species
GAUCCUGGCUCAGGACGAACGCUGGCGGCGUGCUCAACACAUGCAAGUCGAACGAUGAACACCGGAGCUUGCUCUGGUGGGAUUAGUGGCGAACGGGUGAGUAACACGUGAGCAAUCUGCCCCCGACUCUGGGAUAACCCCGAGAAAUCGGAGCUAAUACCGGAUACGACACCUCCUGGCAUCAGGUGGGUGUGGAAAGAAUUUCGGUUGAGGAUGAGCUCGCGGCCUAUCAGCUUGUUGGUGAGGUAAUGGCUCACCAAGGCGACGACGGGUAGCCGGCCUGAGAGGGUGACCGGCCACACUGGGACUGAGACACGGCCCAUACUCCUACGGGAGGCAGCAGUGGGGAAUAUUACACAAUGGGCGCAAGCCUGAUGCAGCAACGCCGCGUGGGGGACGAAGGCCUUCGGGUUGUAAACCUCUUUUGGCAGGGAAGAAGCGAAAGUGACGGUACCUGCAGAAAAAGCACCGGCUAACUACGUGCCAGCAGCCGCGGUAAUACGUAGGGUGCAAGCGUUGUCCGGAAUUAUUGGGCGUAAAGAGCUCGUAGCGGUGUGUCACGUCUGCUGUGGAAAUCCAAGGCUCAACCUUGGACUUGCAGUGGGUACGGGCACACUUGAGUGCGGUAGGGGAGAUUGGAAUUCCUGGUGUAGCGGUGGAAUGCGCAGAUAUCAGGAGGAACACCGAUGGCGAAGGCAGAUCUCUGGGCCGUAACUGACGCU